rnacentral:misc_RNA from 1 species
GAUGAAGAACGUAGUGAAAUGCGAUAAGUAAUGUGAAUUGCAGAAUUCAGUGAAUCAUCGAAUCUUUGAACGCAUCUUGCGCUCCUUGGUAUUCCGAGGAGCAUGCCUGUUUGAGUGUCAUUUAACUUCUCAACCACAUUGGAUAUUUUUUUUCCGAUGCCGGCUUGGAUGUGGGGGUUGUUUGCAGGCUUUUUGUAACAAAAAAGGUCGGCUCCCCUGAAAUGUAUUAGUGGUAUCUGAGGCUAUUACUAUUAGGUGUGAUAAUUAUCUAUGCCUUUUGGGUAUGCCGCAUGAACAGAUUAUGCUGCUUCUAACGAAAACUAUUUUGAUGAAUUUGACCUCCAAUCAGGUAGGACUACCCGCUGAACUUAAGCAUAUCAAUAAGCGGAGGA